GAAGCAAGAAACAAACAAAAUCAAUAAGUACUCAUUAAUUAAGAAAACAGAGCAUUAUUAUGAAAUCAUACACAUGGAAAACUUAUCAACAAUAAAAAUAACGACAAACACCAUUACAUUCUCCUUUAUAGGAGACAAACAGUAUAAACCCCAAGGAAGAGUGAUUUCUCUAUGAUCUAGGUUCCAGUCUGUCUGGGGAAAUAAAUUCAAGCUGUUACAACUUAAUACAUCAAUUGCCAUGGUGGAAGUAUGAAAAAACAAUGCCUGGAUAUAUAGAAGCAGGAAGAAUAUUCUCUCUUUUAUGAGAUAAGAGAGUUGAAGGUGGCUAUGCCUGCUGCCGAAGAGAGAACCCUGAGUCACAAGUACACAAAUGAAAUGCGAUUGUCUUCGUGGGUUGCAUCGUAUGAUUUGGAGCAAGUCUUCAGGUCUAAUAUAAAGAUCUUUCAAAUAAAUCAUCCAGCUAAGCUUCUGUGGCCCCAAACUCCUAAUUUAAAAAUGUUGAUAAAUGAAGUACCUCUUUAGUUAAUAAAUGAAGUAUCUCUUUAGUUAUCCUUUGUCAGCAACAUUCAUUUUAAUGGAAAGUGAGUUUACAGGGUUACAUGAUUGAACUACUGAGCCAAGUCAGUGUUGGCAAAUGAUGGGCUAAAUUAUUGAUGCUACACACUAAUGAAUUCUGAUGAGAAAUAAAACACAGACAUUACGUUUGAAGUGGUUCAUAAUUAUUUUUGUACUUUAAAAGCAAUUUUAUUCUUUUUCCAAAUCAUACUGGUUCUGUAAAACAAAAACAUAGUUAGUGAUUAUACUAAAAUUAUUGAGUUUGUGGCAAAAAAUGCUCUUGCAAGUUUUCAUUUCUGUGAAGAUAAUGUUAUUCACACUAGGUUUCUGAUUUCCUUAUAUACUUCUGGGAAAAGAUAAUUAAAUUAAAUGUCUAAAUUUUAAAACCAGUGUCUUUAAAUAAGAUAAUCUGCUUUGUAACCAUGGUUAGCAUUCCAAUAGAUGUGUUUAUAAGCUAUGAUAUGUCUAUCAACACAUUUACUGGAGCUGUGUUGAAAUACCAUAAUUAGUUCAAGUAAUGUCAAGUACAGAGGGACUUCCAGCAGGUUUGUUUUGGUAAAGAGCUUAUGUUUAAACGUGUAGCAGAGAAUGCAAUGUGUACUGUAAAGUGAUAGAUGUUUGACGAAGUCAGGGCCUGAUGGCAAUAAUUGAAGCAGGUUCAAACCCUACUAAGGUACAUAGAAGUCUAUACAUUCUGUAGUGUAAUGACAAUGUCCUUUGAGCUUUCCUGACUUAACUGUCCCAGCCUGAGACUUUAAUUCUGCAAGCUUGCUGCCUUCCUUUUUGGUUAAGGGUUGAUUUAUAGUGGAGUCACUCAAACAAGGGCUCAAACUGAAGUGACCACAGGCUGAUUUUUAACUAAGAGGGAUUGUUCACUAAGAGGCAUUAAGGGUGGAACUCACAGUUGUCAAGGUGUUAGUCCACAGAUUCAUCACUUUCUGGUUAUGAGUCUCUGGACCCGUAACUCAGCUCUCUACAAUUCAGUUACCAAAUCCCCCAAAUGUGGUAACAAGUUCUCCCAUCCUAUCUGAGAGGUUUGUUACAAUUAUCAAGUCAGAUAUUGAUGAAACUGAAACCUGUUAAGUGAAUGUAAGGUAAAUUUAUGUCUUAUAUUUGACUGGAUUCUAGUUGGUUUUGUCAAGAUCAUAAGCACUCAUUUGGAAAAUAUUCCCUUUGCCAACUGAGGGAUCUGCAGGGGAAAGGAAUGAGAAGAGUUUUCAAGUCAAGGUUUGGUCAUGUUAGAUGAUUUUCUCCUAUUGAUAAUAUGUGCAGUUUCUUACAUGAAUGAAAAUCCAAAGGUUAAGCCUCCUAUGUUUAAGAACCUAUGAGACUCUGUUGGAUUGAGGUAGGAUACAUAGUGCAUUGAACUUUAGUUCUCAUUUGGUGUACACUUUCUAUGAAACAAAAAUAAAAACUGAGUCUGGUUCAUUUUAACUCUAUAACAUGCCAUUCUCACAUUGUUUUACUGAGUCCCUUUCUCCAUUUUCAUAAUUUUCUCUUUGUCUAUGGUCUAUGAUAGACUUGGCACCAUUUAUGAGAACAAGGCUGCUUCAAGUUUUCAUCUUUUUUGAGUUUUCUUUUAAAAAUGUAUCCUAAUUUUUUUUCUCUUGUUAUAACUGCACUGUUCAUUGUUUUAUGAUCUUGAUACUUUUGGAUGAAAAAUCAUGUGCCUGAGUUAAUCUCACAUCAAAGCAGCAUCAUUAUAUAAUGAUGAUGCUAAGUUGUAUGAAAAAUACCUACUGGAUAUGCUCCAUUAGUCACUAAUUUUCAAACGAAAAGUUCUGUCUUUGAAAAACUCCUCUCCCCCACACCAUUGACAUGGCUCUUCCACUUGAAAAAUGUCCUGCUGGCAUAGAGUGAAUUAAAAAAAAAUAAAAAUGCUGGAGUCUUUUGU
rnacentral:lncRNA from 1 species